rnacentral:tRNA from 1 species
CAGACUUACCUGUAGUUAGGGAUUUCAUUUACAUUGAAUUUUUUGUCGUGCGAUUCGGCGUUGUCUGA